UCGGGAAUUUUGGGCAAUGGGCGAAAGCCUGACCCAGCAACGCCGCGUGAGGGAUGAAGUAUUUCGGUAUGUAAACCUCGAAAGAAUGGGAAGAAUAAAUGACGGUACCAUUUAUAAGCUCCGGCUAACUACGUGCCAGCAGCCGCGGUAAUACGUAGGGAGCAAGCGUUGUUCGGAUUUACUGGGCGUCAAGGGCGCGUCGGCGGCGCGGUAAGUCACUUGUGAAAUCUCUGAGCUUAACUCAGAACGGCCAAGUGAUACUGCUGUGCUAGAGUGCGGAAGAGGCAACCGGAAUUCUUGGUGUAGCGGUGAAAUGCGUAGAUAUCAAGAGGAACACCUGAGGCGAAGGCGGGUUGCUGGGCCGACACUGACGCUGAUGCGCGAAAGCCAGG
rnacentral:rRNA from 1 species